GACGAACGCUGGCGGCGUGCCUAAUACAUGCAAGUUGAGCGCUGAAGGUUGGUACUUGUACCAACUGGAUGAGCAGCGAACGGGUGAGUAACGCGUGGGGAAUCUGCCUUUGAGCGGGGGACAACAUUUGGAAACGAAUGCUAAUACCGCAUAAAAACUUUAAACACAAGUUUUAAGUUUGAAAGAUGCAAUUGCAUCACUCAAAGACGAUCCCGCGUUGUAUUAGCUAGUUGGUGAGGUAAAGGCUCACCAAGGCGAUGAUACAUAGCCGACCUGAGAGGGUGAUCGGCCACAUUGGGACUGAGACACGGCCCAAACUCCUACGGGAGGCAGCAGUAGGGAAUCUUCGGCAAUGGACGAAAGUCUGACCGAGCAACGCCGCGUGAGUGAAGAAGGUUUUCGGAUCGUAAAACUCUGUUGGUAGAGAAGAACGUUGGUGAGAGUGGAAAGCUCAUCAAGUGACGGUAACUACCCAGAAAGGGACGGCUAACUACGUG
rnacentral:rRNA from 1 species